AGGGUUCGAUUCUGGCUCAGGAUGAACGCUAGCGAUAGGCCUAACACAUGCAAGUCGAGGGGCAGCACAUGAGUAGCAAUACGAUGGUGGCGACCGGCGCACGGGUGAGUAACACGUAUGCAACCUACCUUUAACAGGGGAAUAACCCGUUGAAAAACGGACUAACUACUCCAUAACACAGGGGUCCCGCAUGGGAAUAUUUGUUAAAGAUUAAUCGGUUGAAGAUGGGCAUGCGUUCCAGUUAGCUUGUUGGUGAGGUAACGGCUCACCAAGGCCACGAUGGAUAGGGGAACUGAGAGGUUUAUCCCCCACACUGGAACUGAGACACGGUCCAGACUCCUACGGGAGGCAGCAGUGAGGAAUAUUGGUCAAUGGAGGCAACUCUGAACCAGCCAAGUCGCGUGGAAAAGGAUGAAGGUCUUAUGGAUUGUAAACUUCUUUUGCAAGGGAAUAAAGUGGGGGACGUGUCCUCCUUUCGCAUGUACCUUGCGAAUAAGGAUCGGCUAACUCCGUGCCAGCCGCAGC
rnacentral:rRNA from 1 species